GACGAACGCUGGCGGCGUGCCUAAUACAUGCAAGUCGAACGCUGAAGGAGGAGCUUGCUCUUCUGGAUGAGUUGCGAACGGGUGAGUAACGCGUAGGUAACCUGCCUGGUAGCGGGGGAUAACUAUUGGAAACGAUAGCUAAUACCGCAUAAGAGUAGAUGUUGCAUGACAUUUACUUAAAAGGUGCAAUUGCAUCACUACCAGAUGGACCUGCGUUGUAUUAGCUAGUUGGUGGGGUAACGGCUUACCAAGGCGACGAUACAUAGCCGACCUGAGAGGGGGAUCGGCCACACUGGGACUGAGACACGGCCCAGACUCCUACGGGAGGCAGCAGUAGGGAAUCUUCGGCAAUGGACGGAAGUCUGACCGAGCAACGCCGCGUGAGUGAAGAAGGUUGUCGGAUCGUAAAGCUCGGUUGUAAGAGAAGAACGAGUGUGAGAGUGGAAAGUUCACACUGUGACGGUAGCUUACCAGAAAGGGACGGCUAACUACGUG
rnacentral:rRNA from 1 species